rfam:Salmo salar isolate Sally breed double haploid chromosome ssa01, whole genome shotgun sequence.
GUUUCUGUGGCUCAGUUGGUAGAGCAUGGUGUUUGCAACGCCAGCAUGGUGUGUGCAACGCCUGGGUUGUGGGUUCGAUUCCCACGGGGGGCC